ACGAGCUGAGGCCUUUGGGUCACCUCCCACCCGUGUUUAUUUUACCUUGUUGCUUCGGCGGGCCCGCCUUUACUGGCCGCCGGGGGGCUCACGCCCCCGGGCCCGCGCCCGCCGAAGACACCCCCGAACUCUGUCUGAAGAUUGAAGUCUGAGUGAAAAUAUAAAUUAUUUAAAACUUUCAACAACGGAUCUCUUGGUUCCGGCAUCGAUGAAGAACGCAGCGAAAUGCGAUACGUAAUGUGAAUUGCAAAUUCAGUGAAUCAUCGAGUCUUUGAACGCACAUUGCGCCCCCUGGUAUUCCGGGGGGCAUGCCUGUCCGAGCGUCAUUGCUGCCCUCAAGCCCGGCUUGUGUGUUGGGCCCCGUCCUCCGAUUCCGGGGGACGGGCCCGAAAGGCAGCGGCGGCACCGCGUCCGGUCCUCGAGCGUAUGGGGCUUUGUCACCCGCUCUGUAGGCCCGGCCGGCGCUUGCCGAUCAACCCAAAUUUUUAUCCGGGUUGACCUCGGAUCAGGUAGGGAUACCCGCUGAACUUAAUCAUAUCGAU
rnacentral:rRNA from 1 species